rnacentral:rRNA from 1 species
GCAUGGCCGUUGUCAGCUCGUGUCGUGAGAUGUUGGGUUAAGUCCCGCAACGAGCGCAACCCUUGUGAAUAGUUGCCAGCACGUCAUGGUGGGAACUCUAUUCAGACUGCCCAGAUCAACUGGGAGGAAGGUGGGGACGACGUCAGGUCAGUAUGGCCCUUAUGCCUUGGGCUGCACACGUACUACAAUGCCCGGCACAAUGAGAACCGAAACCGCGAGGUUGAGGAAAUCUGGAAAACCGGGCCCAGUUCGGAUUGGAGGCUGCAACCCGCCUCCAUGAAGUUGGAAUCGCUAGUAAUGGCACAUCAGCUACGGUGCCGUGAAUACGUUCCCGGGUCUU